UGAGGAAUAUUGGUCAAUGGGCGCAAGCUUGAACCAGCCAUCCCGCGUGCAGGAAGACGGCGCUAUGCGUUGUAAACUGCUUUUCCAGGGGGAGAAACUUGCGCACGUGUUGCGCAAUUGACGGUACCCUGGGAAUAAGCAUCGGCUAACUCCGUGCCAGCAGCCGCGGUAAUACGGAGGAUGCGAGCGUUAUCCGGAUUCAUUGGGUUUAAAGGGUGCGUAGGCGGACUAUUAAGUCAGUGGUGAAAUCCUGCAGCUUAACUGCAGAACUGCCAUUGAUACUGAUAGCCUUGAGUUUGGUUAAGGUAGGCGGAAUGUGUAAUGUAGCGGUGAAAUGCUUAGAUAUUACACAGAACACCGAUUGCGUAGGCAGCUUACUGAGCCGACACUGACGCUGAGGCACGAAAGCGUGGGGAUCGAACAG
rnacentral:rRNA from 1 species